GACGAACGCUGGCGGCGUGCUUAACACAUGCAAGUCGAACGGAAAGGCCCUGCUUUUGUGGGGUGCUCGAGUGGCGAACGGGUGAGUAACACGUGAGUAACCUGCCCUUGACUUUGGGAUAACUUCAGGAAACUGGGGCUAAUACCGGAUAGGAUCUCCUGCUGCAUGGUGGGGGUUGGAAAGUUUCGGCGGUUGGGGAUGGACUCGCGGCUUAUCAGCUUGUUGGUGGGGUAGUGGCUUACCAAGGCUUUGACGGGUAGCCGGCCUGAGAGGGUGACCGGCCACAUUGGGACUGAGAUACGGCCCAGACGCCUACGGGAGGCAGCAGUGGGGAAUAUUGCACAAUGGGCGGAAGCCUGAUGCAGCAACGCCGCGUGCGGGAUGACGGCCUUCGGGUUGUAAACCGCUUUCGCCUGUGACGAAGCGGGAGUGACGGUAAUGGGUAAAGAAGCACCGGCUAACUACGUG
rnacentral:rRNA from 1 species